rnacentral:rRNA from 1 species
CGGCGCACGGGUGAGUAACACGUGGGUAAUCUACCUUUUGGUUUGGAAUAACCCGGGAAACCCGGGCUAAUGCCAAAUGAGACCACGGUUCUACAGUUUCGUGGGAAAAGUGGGGGACCUCUUCGGAGGCCUCACGCCGGAAGAUGGGCCCGCGGCCCAUCAGCUUGUUGGCAGGGUAAUGGCCUACCAAGGCUUAGACGGGUAGCUGGUCUGAGAGGAUGAUCAGUCACACUGGAACUGAGACACGGUCCAG